GACUUCAUAGUUCAGCUGUUAAAACAUUGGCUGUACUGAGGUCCUACCCUUGCUGUCGUGGGUUCGAAUCCCACCGAGGUUG
rnacentral:tRNA from 1 species